rnacentral:rRNA from 1 species
CAAAGUGGCCCACCUCACGCUGCCAAGAAAAGCCUCUAAGGAGUCUUGUGGUGACCGUACCGCAAACCGACACAGGUAGGCGAGGAGAAUAUCCUAAGGCGCUAGUGAGAACCCUCGUUUAGGAACUCGGCAAAAUGACCCCGUAACUUCGGGAGAAGGGGUGCCUCCACCGGUGAUGAGAUUCACUUUCUGAGCUGGAGGAGGUCGCAGAGAAACGGCCCAAGCGACUGUUUACUAAAAACACAGGGCUCUGCAAAGUCACAAAAACGACGUAUAGGGCCUGACGCCUGCCCGGUGCCGGAAGGUUAAAGAGAGGGGUUAGCCGCAAGGCAAAGCUCUGAACUGAAGCCCCGGUAGACGGCGGCCGUAACUAUAACGGUCCUAAGGUAGCGAAAUUCCUUGUCGGGUAAGUUCCGACCUGCACGAAUGGCGUAACGAUUUGGGCGCUGUCUCAACGAGGGGCACUGCGAAUCUGUAGUACCGGUGAAGAUGCCGGUUUCCCGCAACUAGACGGAAAGACCCCGUGCACCUUUACUGCACUCUAGCCUUGAACUUGGGUGCGUUCUGCGCAGGAUAGGUGGGAGGCUUUGAACUCGGGCUCUCGGGCUCGGGGGAGCCAACGGUGAGAUACCACCCUUGACGUUCUUAGGUUCUAACCUACUCCCCUCAUCGGGGAGAGGAACAUGGCUAGAUGGGUAGUUUGACUGGGGCGGUCGCCUCCUAAAGAGUAACGGAGGCGCUCGAAGGUUCCCUCAGGCUGUUUGGAAAUCAGCCGUCGAGUGCAAAGGCACAAGGGAGCUUGACUGCGAGACUUACAAGUCGAGCAGGUGCGGAAGCAGGACUUAGUGAUCCGGUGGUUCUGUGUGGAAGGGCCAUCGCUCAACGGAUAAAAGGUACGCCGGGGAUAACAGGCUGAUCUGGUCCAAGAGUUCACAUCGACGACCAGGUUUGGCACCUCGAUGUCGGCUCAUCGCAUCCUGGAGCUGUAGCAGGUUCCAAGGGUUGGGCUGUUCGCCCAUUAAAGCGGUACGUGAGCUGGGUUUAGAACGUCGCGAGACAGUUCGGUCCCUAUCUGUUGUGGGCGCAGGAGACUUGAGAGGGCCUGUCCUUAGUACGAGAGGACCGGGAUGGACGAACCUCUAGUGCACCAGUUGUCUCGCCAGAGGCAUAGCUGGGUAGCUAAGUUCGGUUGGGAUAAACGCUGAAAGCAUCUAAGCGUGAAACCCGCCUCGAGAUGAUGUCUCCCGCAGGAUAACCUGCCUAAAGACCCCUGGAAGACCACCAGGUUGAUAGGCCCGGUGUGCAAGAGCAGUAAUGCUCUCAGCUGACGGGUACUAAUCGGUCGUGAGGCUUGACC